CCUACGGGAGGCAGCAGUGGGGAAUAUUGCGCAAUGGGCGAAAGCCUGACGCAGCGACGCCGCGUGAGGGAUGAAGGUCUUCGGAUCGUAAACCUCUGUCAGCAGGGAAGAACGGUCACUGUGCUAAUCAGCAGUGAAUUGACGGUACCUGCAAAGGAAGCACCGGCUAACUCCGUGCCAGCAGCCGCGGGAAUACGGAGGGUGCGAGCGUUAAUCGGAAUUACUGGGGGUAAAUCGCUCGUAUGCGGUAUGUCAAGUCAAGGGUGAAAACCCCGCGCUCAACGUGGGAACUGCCUUUGAAACUGGAAAACUGGAGUGUGUGAGAGGAUAGUGGAAU
rnacentral:rRNA from 1 species